CCCCUGGUUAAGGAACUCUGCAAAUUGACACCGUAACUUCGGGAGAAGGUGUGCCGCUGGCGGUUAGUGACUUCGCGUCACGAAGCUGUCGGUGGUCGCAGUGAAAUGGCGGUUGUGACUGUUUACUAAAAACACAGGACUCUGCGAAGUCGUAAGACGACGUAUAGGGUCUGAUGCCUGCCCGGUGCUGGAAGGUUAAGGGGAUAUGUCAGCGCAAGCGAAGCAUUGAACCGAAGCCCCAGUAAACGGCGGCCGUAACUAUAACGGUCCUAAGGUAGCGAAAUUCCUUGUCGGGUAAGUUCCGACCUGCACGAGGGCAUAACAACAUCCGCACUGUCUCGACCAGGGACUCAGCGAAAUUACAUUGGGGGUGAAGAUGCCCUCUACCCGCGGAAAGACGGAAAGACCCCAUGAACCUUUACUGCAACUUGGCAGUGAUUUUCGGGUUGUUCUGCGUAGUAUAGGUGGGAGGCUUUGAAGCCGGGCUUCCGGGUUCGGCAGAGCCAACGUUGAAAUACCACCCUGAAUAAUCUGGAAAUCUAACCUGCGCCCAUGAUCUGGGCGAGGGACACUGCCUGGUGGGCAGUUUGACUGGGGCGGUCGCCUCCUAAAUUGUAACGGAGGCGUGCGACGGUUCCCUCAGGCUGAUUGGAAACCAGCCGUAGAGUGCAAACGCAUAAGGGAGCUUUACUGCGAGACUGACAAGUCGAACAGUUGCGAAAGCAGGUGUUAGUGAUCCGGUGGUACCACAUGGAAGGGCCAUCGCUCAUCGGAUAAAAGGUACUCUGGGGAUAACAGGCUGAUCGCGCCUGAGAGUUCACAUCGGCGGCGCGGUUUGGCACCUCGAUGUCGGCUCAUCGCAUCCUGGGGCUGGAGCAGGUCCCAAGGGUUUGGCUGUUCGCCAAUUAAAGCGGUACGCGAGCUGGGUUUAAAACGUCGUGAGACAGUUUGGUCCCUAUCUUCCGUGGGCGCAGGACACUUGAGAGGAGCUAUCCAUAGUACGAGAGGACCUGGAUGGACGAACCUCUGGUGCUCCGGUUGUCACGCCAGUGGCAUAGCCGGGUAGCCAUGUUCGGAACAGAUAACCGCUGAAGGCAUAUAAGCGGGAAGCUGGCCUCAAGACUAGGUGUCCCUGACGCAAGUCACUAAAGGCCCCUCGAAGACUACGAGGUUGAUAGGCUCGGUGUGGAAGCGCUGCGAGGCGUGGAGCUAACGAGUACUAAUAGGCCGUGCGACUUGACC
rnacentral:rRNA from 1 species